AAUUUCACUAGCAAAACAAGAAAGACAAAUAUUCUGCCAUUCAUAAGAAUUUGAACAAAAGUAAGAAUUGAAGUACCACCUUAUAACAGCAUGGAAGCGUAAAAGCCACCUAUUAAUAGGUUAAAGUUUAUUGGGAAAAUAAUGAAUGAAAAUAAGUAUUCAAUCUCGAUGAAUAUAUUUGUCACUUGCCUGACAAGAAACUUUAGAUGCUGAGUCUUGGGCCACGCAUUAAUCGGUUAAAGUUUUUUGUUUUCAAAGCAUUUAAACAGUGAUUCAGAAAUUUGCAAGCCUGUGAGAUGUAUUGGCUACAUUUGUUGCACCUGUAACUCAUACUGCAGAAUGGUGCUGUCUUCACUUGUGGCUUAAGGUUUCGCAGACAUGCUGUGUUCAGAGUGUAGCCUAAUGCUUUUAGCUGUUUGUCAUGAUUCAAAAGCGAUCAUUGAACUCUAAGCUGGGUCUGUACACGUGAAGGUUAUACUUCUUUUUGAUGUUUGGGUGAUGGAUCUGAUUUUAUGACUGCCAAUCAGUUUUGAUAUUGGUUCAAGUAGGAUCUUCAAGUCAUAGCUCCUUGACAGGCACUACACUUGGGAAUUAAUUAGAAGAAGCUUGCCCAAUGGAAAUGCAUCCCGAGAAUGGCAUUAGAGGGUACUACGUUGCUCAUCCUGAGUCCUGGUUGAGUCUCAUCACUUUGGAGAUAACAAGAAUGCACGUCAGACCAAUCUCAAGAUGUUCAAUGUUAACCAAAGCCACGGAGACACAACCUUGUACCCCAUAUCAGUGGUGAAGCAAGGAAUUUUACUAAUGGUGUUCAAGAUGUUCAAGAUUUAAUAUAUGUACAAAUUAUAAGGGUGUUCAACUGACCAUCAUUCACCGGCUGUAGCUCUGCUUCUUGUCUCAUAAGAUGCUGCUCUGUCAUCUCCGGAUUUGCCAUAAACAACUACCAUAGCUCCUUGGUAUUGCUAUUUGAGAGCAUUCCGUUAAUACUCCUUGUUGAAAGCAGGAAACAAGAACAUAGAUCUAAGGUCAUUGUUUAUCAUCUGCCUCUGUCCUCUGCCUGUGCUGAAAGAUUCUGCAGUUUCUGUCCUGCCAAAUGUAGUACACAACUGCUGCCAAUAUCAUCCUGUACAUUGCUGAAUUAAUAUGCCUGCCUUUACAAUUAGUAACAGCCCAGUUGAGCUCAUCAUGCAAUGCCAAGGUGCAUUACUGGUAGGUUAUUAAACAUUUCUUUGAAAUGUUCUGUCAACGCCACAGGAAGGAAAAGAGAAUUAAACAGGCCAUCUGGAUGUCCAAGUUACUGCCUAAUGCUAUGACAACAAAAGUAAAAAGUGAUUACAGAAGAAUGGAUAUUCGAGUAACAAAAUUGUCUUCGCCACUCCAGAUAUACAACUCUUCAUACUGGGACAGUAUCCAAGCCCGCCCGUGUGGCGUAAAUAUGCUCCAGUAUUCCACCAUUCCUCCUAUAAAACACAGCCUGAGAAGAGCCUCCAUCAAAGAAUGACUUCAUCGCCUCAACAGCUUCUUCUACCUGUGGCUGGUGCUUAGGUCGACCACAUCGUUUUACAUCUUUACUUAACAAAAGCUUCAAAGCUUUUUCCAGGGUAAUGUUUUUGGGAUUUAAGUUCUGUGACCAAAAUCAGUACAGGCAACUUCUCAUGGAAAAAAGAAAGAAACAGUAAAUUAUACCGUUAACCUACUUCAAAGUCAUUCAAGUAGUCAUUGAUCUUGUUGCAAUUUGUACAGAUUUUAUUACUCCCAAAAGAAAAGUGACACUUUAUGAAACGUGUUGUAUGAUAAUUAGCAAUAACUAACAGGUGAAACAACAUACUGACCAGCACUGAUAUUCAUUGAUAUGGAGUUAGCAGUUGUAGAAAUAUUUGUAAUCACUAGAGUAGUCUUAAGGCUGAUAUACAGGAAUACCAAGAAGAUUAA